ACAUGCUUCCCAAACCAUAUACAAAGACAGGCAAUAGUAGAAACCUGAUAUCACAAAUGAUAAUAUCCUUUGUAGGUACAACUUUAUUCCAUGUUUGUGGCUGGAACAUGUGUACAUCAGAAACUUUAACUACAAUAUGGUAAACAUCUCCACGACCAAGCAAGAAAUCAGAAAUAGAACAGCGGACAUCUUAAGUAAAGCAAGCACCGGCCAAUUACAUAUAAGUCUGUAUUAAUCCUCAGCACUGUCCAUGACGAAGAGGGUACAUAGGGUAGCAUACAGACUGCAACAUCUGCUUGUCCUUCGACAACAUCACAACAUUAACUAACCACAUGGGUCAAACACAUAAAUAAAUAAAUGUCGGACAAUAUGGUGCAACAGAAUCGGAGCUAGCAGAGACACGGGAAACUGCCUUAGAACAUCCAAAGAGACGCCCCCAUAGCCACACAUCAUUACUUCGUGCAUCCACAAACAAAAGGAUAGGGUCCUGCAUAUAUAUAGAUAGAUAGAUUUGCAAGCCCAGAUCAGCAGGAUGUCGGAGUCAUUUCUGAUGCAUAAUAAGGUUCAUGAUAUUUAAACAGUGAUAAUGGUAGACUUUGCAUAACAUGACAACGCAUCAUAUCUCAUAAUUAGAAUACAUUAUAUUACUGAAAAAUGAACUGAGGUGACCAAUUGGAAUACUCCCAUUUAGGUGACCACAUUCCAUAGUUUAAAUUCAAAAAUUAGGCUUCUCCCUAAAGCAUACACUCAGAUAGGGUGCAUUGAAAAAGAGUCUGGAUGAAACACAGGGGCAUACCUUCGAUGUUUCAUUGCGCAUCUCAAUAGAGACAUUAUUAUCUUAUGGACCUCGUUAAAAUCAAUGAUCUUAUUAGUUGCAACUAUAAUUAUAUGAAACUGGUGCCUGCAACGAAAAAUGACAAACCAUGAUGUAUCAGAAAUGAAUUAAGCAGCUAGUUGCAGCACGACAUACCCAACUUCUCACCUCUGUCUUGCCUCCACCGACCAGUUAGAAUUUUUUUUCUUCAUUUAUCAAUACACAUAGUGACACACCAACGCCUUGACUAUGCUCUAGCUAUCACAAUGGUUUACAAAAUUCUAGAUUUGUAUUCAAACAAAUGAACUAUAUAAUGAGUCAUGAUAUGUGGGUGAGCCUUGCUUCUGUUCGGUUGUAAUUAUAGGGAGCAUGCUAGGUUGGGAGUCUAGCUUCUCUCUGUGUGUAAAGAUAGUGUGUCAAGAGAGCCUUGCUUUUGUUCGGUUACAACUUUAGCAAGCUUUCUAUAGAGAAAGUUUAAUGAGAACACUUAGAUAGCAAGUAAGCCAUGUGAGAUUAAAAAAAGCACGGACACCAGCAGGAGAACUAAAAUAUUCCAGUUUCAUAAAAUGCAUCUCCUUUGUACCUCUUAUGAUUAGAGGAAAGGCCAUAAGGGAAGAACCUAAAGUUACCAUAGAAUUUAUACAUACAUGUAAUUACAGCAGCAGGGCGCUAUGCUAUUGGUGGUAUCCUUUUUAUAUAUAUCCUCACUGGUUAGCUGACAUAAGAAAAGGAAAAGAUCAGAAGGGUAUAACAGUUAUGAAGCUAUACCAGUUAUUAAACAAUGUGCCAGGCUCACAGGGAAAAAUUCAGCGAGUUUUCCUAGGAGUAAUACAAAGAAAAACCUGAAACUGAAAAUAUACACUCAUAAGAGUGGCCGAAGUAAGUUUUCCGCAUAACACAGCGAAUGCAAUUUCAUAAGAGGUAGCAAAACCAUGUAAUGCAAAUAGUCUGUGUUUUUUUGGGAUGUAUAGAGCAAAACGAUUCAAUAACCCAAGGGGAAUAUUAUGUUGCAGCGAAUAUAUCAAGCUGGGUUAUAAUGCAUAAAAGGAUGACAACAGACAAUAGUGAGAUAAGAAGGUAAACAGGGUUUGUCGGGCACUAAUUAUGUUGUAGCACAAAAUACUAAUAAAUAGUAACUCUAAAGAUCCGUUAGGAGCUGGGGAAGGAACUGUAAAUAGCAUACGUCAGCAGAUUAAGCAAAGAGGCACUGUGAUUAUACAGAGAGACUCCAACACCAAACAAUCAAAGGGCGACAUCAAUCACAUACAUGGGAUGGAGGAAGAGAGCACAGACCAUACUUAAAGCAUGUCAUCAGAGAACUAACCAUCUGGAUAGGACAUGAAAAUGCAACUUUUCCUAUUAUUUGCUUUCAUAGAAACCAUCGACACCAACAGCUCAAAGAUCUACUUCUACAUAACAAAUUCAGACAAUAAAAUUAAAAUUGAUCACCAUGGUUACACAUUUCCUAUUAUUUACUUUCGAAGUGUAACACCAUAUUGAGCAAGACUAAGGUAAAAGCAGGAAAGCUUAAAAUUGAUCACCACAAUUACACAAAAGGCGCAUUUUUCCUUCUAUAGGGAACCAAAUAUAGCUCAAUGUAUGAUAAUUAUUUGUUAUUAUAUAUUUAAUCAGCAAAGUCUUGAGAGAGAGGGGGUCUGACCUAUUGAAGGGGCCACAGGAGCAAGGGGUGAGGAGAUGCUCGGAAGCGGCACCGCUAGCCUACAACACCUCAAAGGCUGAAGCCGACCAGCUAGACUCCUGAUGCUCACCCGCCCGCACUUGGUCCUCUUGCCUAUGACACUGUAUAGCAGAAACACAUAAACUUGAUCACACAGAGAUUAGAGCAAGUUUCUUGUUGCAAAAUAAGAGAGCAUAUUCCUAACACACACAAUCGAUGCUAUUCAUUCCCAUCCAGUCGUAUGUGUAUAUGUUUUCACUAUGCGGUUUGAUACACUGAGACUUCACCUCCAAUUCAAGCAUAAUCAUAUGACAAAUGGUAUAGUGAAACUGACUUUGAUUUUCUAAAGCUUGGAGCCUUAAAUAUUUGAAUAAGAGAACAUAAAAAAACAAGUUCACUGAGUAAUCCUGUAUGGAGAUCACAUUAUCUGUCUAGAGAAGUACAACAAAACGGAUUGUGGAGGGAUAACUUCAACACGCAAAUAGUGGCCCUUUGAGCAAAAAUUCUAGAAUCUCUUGAAACAAUUACGUGAGUGCGGUGUAUGCGCAUAACUUACCUUAGCGACAGGUGGAAGAGGCAGUCAGAACUACGCACGGUUGCUCUCCUUCUUCCAACCUUCCUCUUCAGCUUGCCUCCUCUUUUUGUAAGCACUGCCCUGGCCAUGGGGUGAAAAAAAUAAGCAUUUGCUGUAAUAACCUAUGUAAACUUCUUCAAUCCAAAGGACAAACAAAUGUUAUCUUCUUCAUAUGCUUAUAGAAACUGAGGAACAUGUUUAGAGCCGUUGGAAAUAGAAGCAAAUAUAUCUGGACUAUAUCCAGUUGAAAAUAGGAGGACGUGUAGCUUCCAGAAUUUUAAAGCUAGCAGCAUGGAAAAGGGCCAGCCACCACUUGUAUGUUACCGCUGAAUAAAUCUAAAAAAAUUAAUAUAGAAGGUUCAUGCACCUUUUCACACAUAGUUUGGCCCUAUUUAACCAGUACUAAGCAAAAGAGCGUAGAUAUUGCAAUCCAAAUGGAACAUGAGAUUGCAAUACCGAACCUGUUGCCGGACCGGACGGCGGCGAGGAUGCCGGCGUCCUCCCGACAAAUCGCUCUAUGAAUAUUCUACAUUUGUUGUGGUCAUCGGUGUUGAUGGAAAGCAGAGUGGCUUGGAGAGGCACACCACUUUCGACCAUAAAGAGCACUAAAACUUCCGCUAAUAGUAGCAUGCUAACCAGUAAAAUAUAUGCAUACAUUAUAAAUAGUCAAUAUAGAUAAUACUUCAUAUCAUCUAAGAAUAAAAUCCAACAGGUAGGCUUCUCACUAUUAAUCAGUAGGAGAUGGCUACCUCAUAUUUUACUAUUUGUUUACACCUAAAAGUAAAAUAUACGGCUUCUCACUAUUAAUUCAGGAGGCAGGCUGUUCACUGAGAGUUUUUACAAUGUCAAUCAUAGGAUUCAUACCUCUGUAUCGAUGGAAAAUGUAUCGUAAACAUGAUCCCAGUCUUGUUCAGCCACUACAUUGGCUUCCCCUGCAUUUCGAACAGGCACUACAUCGUUAAGCAGCAGAACCACAUAUGCACCAAUAGGAAAUUGAGUUUACUUCAGAUUUUUAAAGAACACUUACAGAGCAUCCGUAGACAUCUUCCUGCAUACACUUCGCCUUCUCAAUGUCAAGCCUACUUUUCCCAUAUCUGAUGCCGAAACCAUGCUUCCGUGAAUAAAGAUUGUAAAAGUCUUUAUUUUUUUCCCACGGAAUCCAAUGUUAGCCCAAUAGUAGCGUGCUCACCCAACUUAUCUGCACACCCCUGAAUCGUUUG
rnacentral:lncRNA from 1 species